GCUUAUGCUAGAGAGAAAAAGGAAAAGCCACCCUUUUUACCAGAGGAGCCCUCCUCCUCCUCCGCAGACAGGCCUGUUCCAAACGAGUUGUUAUGUCCCAUUUGUAAAGAUCCAGUGACGGAUGCAGCGCUUAUUCCAUGCUGUGGAGCAAGUUAUUGUGAUGAAUGUAUUAGAACAGCUUUACUGGAAUCGGAGGAACAUACUUGCCCGGCGUGUCAUCAGACAGGUGUUUCUCCUGACGCUUUAGUUGCCAACAACUUCCUGCGCCAGGGCUCCAUAAGGAGAUUCAGCAGCAGCAGCAGCAACAGCCGCCGUCACUGCCUGCACGACCACUUGUGACUGUGACACCUGCUGCU